GCAUUAAUGGGGUAGUGGUAACCUGGGUCGUUGCCAUUCGAGUUGGCCAUUGCGAGCACAAGCUCGACCCGCCGGGGGUUCGAUUCCCUCUUAAUGCA